GACGAACGCUGGCGGCGUGCCUAAUACGUGCAAGUCGAGCGCAGGAAACUGACGGAACUCUUCGGGGGAAGACCUAGCAGCGAACGGGUGAGUAACACGUGAGGAACCUGCCCCGAAGACCGGGAUAACACCGGGAAACCGGUGCUAAUACCGGAUGCCCACAGAGAGUCGCAUGGCCUAUUGAGGAAAUGGAUUCCGCUUCGGGAGGGCCUCGCGGCCUAUCAGCUUGUUGGUGGGUUAACGGCCUACCAAGGCUCCGACGGGUAGCUGGUCUGAGAGGACGACCAGCCACACUGGGACUGAGACACGGCCCAGACUCCUACGGGAGGCAGCAGUGGGGAAUCUUGCGCAAUGGGCGAAAGCCUGACGCAGCAACGCCGCGUGGGGGACGGAGGCCUUCGGGUUGUAAACCCCUUUCAGCAGGGACGAAAAUGACGGUACCUGCAGAAGAAGCCCCGGCCAACUACGUGCCAGCCGCCGCCGUAAGAC
rnacentral:rRNA from 1 species